ACAUCAAGAAAUCUUGGAAGGGCAGAGAAACGCGAAGAAAAGAGAGAGGAGGGAUCAAUUAAUCACGCCACAACUAAAAUUACAGAGGACGUUAGCUCAGCUCAGUAUAUAUUUAUAAUGGAAGAGAAUUUAAAGAUAAGUAUUGGACCGCGGACGGGAAGAGUGUAUGUUCGAAAUCCAAGUUUGUGCUCAAAAAUCAGUGGGGUAAAUUAUCAAUGUCAACAAAAGCCAGCCCCUGGAUCUAAAUUUUGCCAUCAUCACAUUGAAAUGAACAAAAGAGCUAGAAAUAAAGCUACAAAAUCCCAUAUUGAUAGGAAAAAUUGUGGCAAAUACAAAGGCAAAAGCAAAGAUGAAUUCAAAAGAAGUGAGGCUUCUGAAUGGUAGGUUU